rnacentral:lncRNA from 1 species
AUGUAUGUAACCUUAGUUAGCCCAUCAUUAACUAAGGUUACCCUUUUGGGUAUCUACACAUUAGUCCUACACUUUAUAUGACAAUAUAUUGGCCCCCUUUUUUUUAACAAUGUCCAUAAGACCACCAAUUUAGGCCAAACCAAAAGAUAGCACAUAACAUAUAAUUAAUCCAUAUAAUGUUCAUAUGUAUAUAGAUAUAAGUCCAUAUAUCUAAC